rnacentral:lncRNA from 1 species
CUUUUACUUCCGGUUUUAAAAGUUUACUUCCGGUAUUGUUUGAUAGUUUACUUGACACUGAUUCCAAAAAUAUAUGGUUCUAUAUACUUUUACAUUGAUUUAGUGCAAAAAAUUGCUACUUCCGGUUUACAAAAGGUCACUUCCGGUUGUGUUUUUAAGGUCACAUUGCUUACAACUUAAUGCAAACAGUCCCAUGGCUUUAUCAUUUGUACAUAUGAGGUAAAAG